AUUGAACGCUGGCGGAAUGCUUUACACAUGCAAGUCGAGCGGCAGCGCGGGGCAACCUGGCGGCGAGCGGCGAACGGGUGAGUAAUGUAUCGGAACGUGUCUUGUCGUGGGGGAUAGCCCGGUGAAAACCGGAUUAAUACCGCAUACGAUCGAGAGAUGAAAGUGGGGGACCGCAAGGCCUCACGCGAUAGGAGCGGCCGAUAUCUGAUUAGCUAGUUGGUGGGGUAAAGGCCCACCAAGGCUUCGAUCAGUAGCUGGUCUGAGAGGAUGAUCAGCCACACUGGGACUGAGACACGGCCCAGACUCCUACGGGAGGCAGCAGUGGGGAAUUUUGGACAAUGGGGGCAACCCUGAUCCAGCCAUUCCGUGUGAGUGAAGAAGGCCUUCGGGUUGUAAAGCUCUUUUGUCCGGGAAGAAACGGUUUCACCUAAUACGUGAGACUACUGACGGUACCGGAAGAAUAAGGACCGGCUAACUACGUGCCAGCCGCCGCAGUAACAC
rnacentral:rRNA from 1 species